UCACUCUAGUUUUGUAGUUUAUUAGGCAGACAGGAUUUAAAUGAGAUAGCAGCAAACACGAAAGAAUACAUGGCAAAAUGUUGACAUUGGUAUUAUUCUUAUGGUGAAGAGAAUACUGCAUGUGAUUCACAUUUCAUCAGGUUCCUAUUAGCAACCAUCUCUUCUCACAGAUAUCUAAUUCCAUGAGACAAAACUGAGGAGGAAAUUUCUGUCUUCACGGAUUCUUUUCGGGGGAUCAAAGGCACAAAACAAGGCAAAAUUUCCCAACUGCAGAAAAGGACUGUAAGAAUAGUAACUAAACAUAGUAAAUGGAUUUGUCGUGAAGAACGGCUUAGAAAAAUGUAUACAUUUACUGUACCAAGUCACAAAGACAGAUUUUACAACUAACCAUUUCAACUGUAUGCUACA